rnacentral:rRNA from 1 species
AUGGAGUCUCCACAUGCAAAUGCAUGCGCUGAAACACUUCUUCAGCUGGCCGGUGUGCUCUUAUCACCACAUUGCCCAGAACCACCUUACCAUCUGCGGAGACGGAAAUAUGUGACGGAAGUCGCAAAAAAACCAGCAUGGCCAGUAAAACGUCAAAGGUCAGGCGCUGAAAAUAUAACAGGGUAUAAGAAAUACAAAAUGUCUACUGCUGUCCAACCACCUCACAGUGAGGGACCUAAAACAGCGAGAUCAGCCCCUGAUCCAACUACGCAGACUAGUAAUAAUCGCCAAACUGCUCGUCACAGACAUCUUUCAGGUUAG